rnacentral:rRNA from 1 species
GGGGGGGGGGGCAAGCGUUGUUCGGAAUUACUGGGCGUAAAGGGCGCGUAGGCGGCCCAGCAAGUCCUUCGUGAAAUCCCACAGCUCAACUGUGGAACUGCGGAGGAUACUGCCGGGCUUGAGUCCGGGAGAGGGGAGUGGAAUUCCCAGUGUAGCGGUGAAAUGCGUAGAUAUUGGGAGGAACACCGGUGGCGAAGGCGGCUCCCUGGACCGGUACUGACGCUGAGGCGCGAAAGCUAGGGGAGCAAACGGGAUUAGAUACCCCGGUAGUCCCAGCUGUAAACGUUGAGCACUUGGUGUGGCGGGUAUCGACCCCUGCUGUGCCGAAGCUAACGCAUUAAGUGCUCCGCCUGGGGAGUACGGUCGCAAAGGCUGA